rnacentral:rRNA from 1 species
AUUGAACGCUGGCGGUAGGCCUAACACAUGCAAGUCGAACGGCAGCACAGUGAUAGCUUCUGGUUACGGCGGCGGACGGGCGGGUAAUGGCUAGAAACAUCGCAGUCUGCGUGUGCUAACGUGCGAACGUAGGCGCACUUACCCUAUACGUGCAUACGGCGUACGGGUGAAAGCUUGGGAUCUUCGGACCUUGCGUGAGCGAAUGAGCCGAUGUCGGAUUAGCGAGUUGGUGGGGUAAAGGCCUACCAAGGCGACGAUCCGUAGCUGGUCUGAGAGGAUGAUCAGCCACACUGGAACUGAGACACGGUCCAGACUCCUACGGGAGGCAGCAGUGGGGAAUAUUGGACAAUGGGCGAAAGCCUGAUCCAGCCAUACCGCGUGGGUGAAGAAGGUCUUCGGGUUGUAAAGCACUUUUGGUUGGGAAGAAGAGCAGUAAGUUAAUACCUUGCUGUUUUGACGUUACCAACAGAAUAAGCACCGGCUAACUUCGUG